rnacentral:lncRNA from 10 species
AGGGGACACUUAACAAAUCCACUAGUUCAAGAAGCUUAAAAUCCCUUGACCCUGAAAACAGUGAAACUGAGUUAGAAAGGAUUUUGCGUCGCAGAAAGGUGACAGCAGAAGCAGAUAGCAGUAGUCCAACUGGGAUAUUAGCCACCUCAGAGUCCAAAUCCAUGCCAGUGUUGGGUUCUGUAUCCAGUGUAACAAAAACAGCCUUGAACAAGAAAACUCUGGAGGCAGAAUUCAACAGCCCGUCCCCCCCAACACCUGAGCCAGGUGAAGGGCCCCGUAAAUUGGAAGGAUGCACAAGUUCCAAGGUUACGUUUCAAGAGAUUUUGAUUGGCUCGCCGGUAAAUUCUCUUCUUCUUUUCAUUUGAUGGGCCAGCUUUUUCAUUCUAG